GAUGAACGCUGACAGAAUGCUUAACACAUGCAAGUCUACUUGAAUUUGGGUUUUUUAACUUCGAUUUGGGUGGCGGACGGGUGAGUAACGCGUAAAGAACUUGCCUCACAGCUAGGGACAACAUUUGGAAACGAAUGCUAAUACCUGAUAUUAUGAUUAUAGGGCAUCCUAGAAUUAUGAAAGCUAUAUGCGCUGUGAGAGAGCUUUGCGUCCCAUUAGCUAGUUGGAGAGGUAACGGCUCACCAAGGCGAUGAUGGGUAGCCGGCCUGAGAGGGUGAACGGCCACAAGGGGACUGAGACACGGCCCUUACUCCUACGGGAGGCAGCAGUGGGGAAUAUUGGACAAUGGACCGGGAGUCUGAUCCAGCAAUUCUGUGUGCACGAUGACGUUUUUCGGAAUGUAAAGUGCUUUCAGUUGGGAAGAAAAAAAUGACGGUACCAACAGAAGAAGUGACGGCUAAAUACGUGCCAGCAGCCGCGGUAAUACGUAUGUCACGAGCGUUAUCCGGAUUUAUUGGGCGUAAAGCGCGUCUAGGUGGUUAUGUAAGUCUGAUGUGAAAAUGCAGGGCUCAACUCUGUAUUGCGUUGGAAACUGUGUAACUAGAGUACUGGAGAGGUAAGCGGAACUACAAGUGUAGAGGUGAAAUUCGUAGAUAUUUGUAGGAAUGCCGAUGGGGAAGCCAGCUUACUGGACAGAUACUGACGCUGAAGCGCGAAAGCGUGGGUAGCAAACAGG
rnacentral:rRNA from 1 species